CACCGCGGUUAUACGAGAGGCCCAAGUUGACAAAUGCCGGCGUAAAAUGUGGUUAUUACAGUAUUUCACUAAAGCCAAACAUCUUCAAAGCUGUUAUACGCUCUCGAAGAGAGGAAGAUCCCCCACGAAAGUGGCUUUAAUAUAUAUGAACCACGAAAGCUAGGAAA
rnacentral:rRNA from 1 species